UGGCAUGGAAUUCCACCAGAGGUACCGCCAGU
rnacentral:piRNA from 1 species